rnacentral:lncRNA from 1 species
AUGACCAUACUUCGGGUUUCGUUACUGAUGGACCUUCUCAAUUGCAUGGUGCUGCCUAGACAAGUGCCUCACCUUGCUCUUCAGCAUCAUUAAUAUUUUUGCCGGCCCUAGGCGUGCCUUCAAAUGCUGAAUGGAAUGGGUAUCAGAUAGUUUGUUUCUGACAUUACUUCUCAAUUUUACACUGCAUUUGUCUGCAUGAUGGCAUUUAUUGU